UCCUGGGGGCGCAGCUGGGCUGGGCCUUUGAGCUCCCACCCGAGUCCUAGGUGUGCCAUCUAAGGUGCGCCGUGGGCAGGCAAGGGCGGUUUGCCCCGCUUAGCCCACGCCCAGUGUGCCCUGGUCCGAGCCUAGGACUGAGGCUGGGACUGCAGCCAUCCCCAGCCCCUCAGUCAGCCAGAGCUGCCCCUUCUCUGAACCCCACCUUCUCCCCUCCAGCAAUGACUGCACUGUGUUCUGCCAAAGGGUCUUCAUGUCCCGAAAUGUGCCCGCCCCACGCCUUUCUUGCCCCUGUGCUACUCCGCUCUCCCAGGACUUGAGCUGCUCCCUACCCUGGCAGAAUCUCAUGCUUCCUUCACAAGUAGCCUCCACCCCUAUACGAGACUGCACCUGGGCCCCUCCCUCCUCCCAGAAGGCCCUGUCCUACCUUUUGUCAAAUUGCUUUUCACGCCUGAUUGGGCCCAAGCAUUUGUCCACAGCAGAUGAGAUUCACAGGGGCAAGACCUGUGGCUUUCCACCUCUGCAUGCCCAGCUCCUGGGCCUGGCACUCCAUAGACAUUCAACGAACAUCUGCUGAACCCAGCUGUACUGUGUGGGCAAGGAACAGCUUUCCAGGGGUUUGGUCUGCUCUCACCGGGGGCACCGCCGAGUGGGCUUCCAGCAGCCUCGAGACCAUUCACCAGAAACAUCUCCCCCCAGUCUCAAGAGGCGGGAGACCAAGGAAAGAACAAACUCCAGGCCCAUCCACAGUGAGCUCAGCACCUUUGCCCUCAAGGGUCCAGGACUAUGCACAGAGCAGGUGGCCAAAAUACAUACGCG